rnacentral:tRNA from 1 species
GCGGACGUGGUGGAAUGGCAGACACGCCAGGUUUAGGUUCUGGUGACCAAAAGUCGUGGGGGUUCAAGUCCCCCCGCCCGCACCA